rnacentral:rRNA from 1 species
CCAGAUGGGAUUAGCUAGUAGGUGGGGUAAUGGCUCACCUAGGCGACGAUCCCUAGNUGGUCUGAGAGGAUGACCAGCCACACUGGAAUUGAGACACGGUCCAGACUCCUACGGGAGGCAGCAGUGGGGAAUAUUGCACAAUGGGCGCAAGCCUGAUGCAGCCAUGNCGCGUGUAUGAAGAAGGCCUUCGGGUNGUAAAGUACUUUCAGCGGGGAGGAAGGCGUUGAGGUUAAUAACCUCAGCGAUUGACGUUACCCGCAGAAGAAGCACCGGCUAACUCCGUGCCAGCAGCCGCGGUAAUACGGAGGGUGCAAGCGUUAAUCGGAAUUACUGGGCGUAAAGCGCACGCAGGCGGUCUGUCAAGUCGGAUGUGAAAUCCCCGGGCUCAACCUGGGAACUGCAUUCGAAACUGGCAGGCUAGAGUCUUGUAGANGGGGGUAGAAUUCCAGGUGUAGCGGUGAAAUGCGUAGAGAUCUGGAGGAAUACCGGUGGCGAAGGCGGCCCCNUGGACAAAGACUGACGCUCAGGUGCGAAAGCGUGGGGAGCAAACAGGAUUAGAUACCNUGGUAGUCCACGCCGUAAACGAUGUCGACUUGGAGGUNGUGCCCUUGAGGCGUGGCUUCCGGAGCUAACGCGUUAAGUCGACCGCCUGGGGAGUACGGCCGCAAGGUUAAAACUCAAAUGAAUUGACGGGGGCCCGCACAAGCGGUGGAGCAUGUGGUUUANUUNGAUGCAACGCGAAGAACCUUACCUACUC